rnacentral:rRNA from 1 species
GCUGCUUGCUUAUACAUGCAAAUCGAACGCUGAAGCUCAUCUUGGUGGGAGGAUUAGUGACCAACGGGUGAAUAACACGUGGGUAAUCUGCCCUGUACUUCGAUGAUAAGCCUGGGAAACUGGGUCUAAUACCGGAUAGGACGCAUCCUCGCAGGGGGGUGUGUGGAAAGUUGCCGCGGUAUGGGAUGACCCCGCCCCCUAUCAUCUUGUUGGGGGGGUGAUGGCCUACCAGGGCGGUGACGGGUACCCGGCCUGAGAGGGUGACCGGCCACACUGGGACUGACACACGGCCCACACUCCUACGGGAGGCAGCUGUGGGGAAUAUUGCACUGUGGGCGCACGCCUGAUGCAGCCACGCCGCGUGGGGGAUGACGGCCUUCGGGUUGUAAACCUCUCUCCCCCGGGACAAAGCGGAUGUGACGGUCCCGGGAGAAGAAGCACCGGCUGACUACGUGCCAGCAGCCGCGGUAAUACGUGGGUGCGAGCUUUCUCCGGAAAUAUUGGGCGUAAAGAUCUCAUACGCUGUGUGUCACCUCUGCCGUGAACACGUGCGGCUUAACCGUGGGGCGUGCUGUGGAUACGGGCAUCACACGAGUUUUGUAGGGGAGAGAGGAGUACUCGGUGUAGCGCGGGAGUAUGCACAUAUCUGGAGGAACACCCGUGUCGAGAGCGCGUGUCUGUGCCGAUACUGACGCUGAGGAGAGAGAGAGUGGGGAGAGAACACGAUUAGAUAUCCCGGUAGUCCACGCUGUAAACGUUGGGCGCUAGGUGUGGGGUGCUGUGCACGUGUCCCCUGCGGUAGCUAACGCAUUUAGCGCCCCGCGCGGGGAGUACGGCCGCAAGGCUAAAACUCAAAGGAAUUUACGGGGGCCCGCACAAGCGGCGGAGCAUGUGGAUUAUUUUGAUGCAACGCGAAGAACAUUACCUGGGCUUGACAUGCAUCAGACAGGCGUAGAGAUACGUCUUCCCCCGUGGUUGGUGUACAGGUGGUGCAUGGCGGUGUUCAGCUCGUGUCUUGAGAUGUUGGGUUAAGUCCCGCAACGAGCGCAACCCCUGUCCCAUGUUUCCAGCGGGUUAUACCGGGGACUCUUGGGAGACUGCCGGGGUCAAAUCGGAGGAAGGUGGGGAGGAGGUCAAGUCUUCUUGCCCCCUAUGUCCACGGCUUCUCACACGCUACAAAAUGUGGUACAGAGGGUGUGGAUAUCGUGAGGUGGAGCGAAUCCUUUAAAGCCGGUGUCAGUUCGGAUGAUAGUAUUCAACUAGUCUGCGUGAAGUAGGAGUCGUUAGUAAUUGCAGAUCAAUAACG